GCUCAAUGGUUCAGUGCUUAUACGUUAGGCUUGAGACCAGAGGGUCUUGGGUUCGAAUCCCAGCUAGAGCA
rnacentral:tRNA from 1 species